AAAAAAAAGUCAUUUUGUCUCGGUUCAAGACGGAGUUGCCGUCGGCUCCCGAGAACACCACGAAGCCACAGUCCCACACAAAUCGCCUGAUCGCCCCACCGGUUCCCCGGCCCCCGGGGCGACGAGCCCAGGAGGAUGGCUUCGCUGCUGCUCAGAUCCGCUCGUCGCUCGGUUCCGCUGCUUCCGCACUCGUUCCCUCGGAACCCACCGCACUCGUUCCUCGCCAAUGGUUUUCUGGAGCCAAAAAAGCUCUUUAGCUCAAAAACCAAUGUGGGACAAAGCAAGAGCAUCGGGGACGGCAGAACUUGCCGAUGCACCGACAGCCAGGAAAUGCGUUCUCUGCAAGACAAUGUUCGUCGCUUGGAACUUUCAAUUGAAGAAACUGAGAAGUGGAUGAAGAAAUGAGAGAAGAUCAUGAUCUGUCUCACCGCUCCCCUGGCUGCCUCCCUCGUUUGGUUGAUGGUUCCAGACCAGAAAGACCAUGGCGACCAAGCUGAGGUGAAAACUUCUGCUUAGGAGUUUCCGAAAAGAGAAUUGACGUAGCAGUACUCGUUCAGUUGCAGUAAAACAGUCCUAAGGCUAAGGCGACGAAGAAGAGUUGUCCUAAAAUAUAACCACUGCUUGGUCCGGAAUUAUGUACAUGUCGUUUUCUUGAUAUGGGACAUGCUCCACUAGGAUUAUUACGUGGCCGUCUCAUCAUCACUUGAUUUGGUUGAGACAA